rnacentral:rRNA from 1 species
UACGUAGGGUCCGAGCGUUGUCCGGAAUUAUUGGGCGUAAAGGGCUCGUAGGCGGUCUGUUGCGUCGGGGGUGAAAACUUACAGCUUAACUGUGAGCGUGCUUCCGAUACGGGCAGACUUGAGGUAUUCAGGGGAGAACGGAAUUCCUGGUGUAGCGGUGAAAUGCGCAGAUAUCAGGAGGAACACCAAUAGCGAAGGCAGCUCGCUGGGACGUUACUGACACUGAGGCGCGAAAGCGUGGGGAGCGAACAGG